rnacentral:rRNA from 1 species
GGUAUUGCACUUACCGAAGACUAUCAAACUCCGAAUGCCGUAUUCUUUUGCUUGGGAGUCAGACUAUGGGUGAUAAGAUUCAUAGUCAAGAGGGCAACAGCCCAGAUCGUCAGCUAAGGUCCCUAAAUGUAAGUUAAGUGGUAAAGGAUGUGGAAUUGCACAGACAACCAGGAUGUUGGCUUAGAAGCAGCCACUCAUUUAAAGAGUGCGUAAUAGCUCACUGGUCGAGUGAUUCUGCGCCGAAAAUUUCCGGGGCUAAAACUUACUACCGAAGCUACGGCAUCAUUAUGAUGGGUAGGGGAGCUUUCUAUACGGGUUGAAGCAUGACCGUAAGGACAUGUGGACUGUAUAGAAGUGAGAAUGUUGGCAUGAGUAGCGAGAUGUGGGUGAGAAUCCCACAGGCCGUAAACCCAAGGUUUCCAGGGGAAGGUUCGUCCGCCCUGGGUUAGUCAGGACCUAAGCCGAGGCCGAAAGGCGUAGGUGAUGGACAACAGGUUGAUAUUCCUGUACCACCAAUAACCGUUUGAGAAAUGGGAUGACACAGUAGGAUAAGCUAACCGCACUGUUGGUUAUGUGCGGGCAAGUAUUGAGGCAGUUCCGAUAGGCAAAUCCGUCGGAAUAAUGCUGGGGUACGAUGCGGAGCGAAAUUAAGUAGCGAAGUAGCUGAUUUCACACUGUCGAGAAAAGUCUCUAUCGAGGUUAAAGGUGCCUGUACCGCAAACCGACACAGGUGGGUGAGGAGAGUAUCCUAAGGCCAGCGAGAGAACUGUUGUUAAGGAACUCGGCAAAAUGACCCCGUAACUUAGGGAGAAGGGGUGCCUUCGAAAGAAGGCCGCAGAGAAUAGGCCCAAGCGACUGUUUACCAAAAACAUAGGUUUCUGCUAAGUCGCAAGACGAUGUAUAGGAGCUGACGCCUGCCCGGUGCUGGAAGGUUAAGGGGAUCUGUUAGAGCAAUCGAAGCAGUGAACUUAAGCCCCAGUAAACGGCGGCCGUAACUAUAACGGUCCUAAGGUAGCGAAAUUCCUUGUCGGGUAAGUUCCGACCCGCACGAAAGGCGUAACGAUUUGGGCACUGUCUCAACAACAGACUCGGUGAAAUUGUAAUACCGGUGAAGAUGCCGGUUACCUGCGACAGGACGGAAAGACCCCAUGGAGCUUUACUGUAGCUUGACAUUGAGUCUCGGUGCUACAUGUACAGGAUAGGUGGGAGACUAUGAAGCAUGGACGUCAGUCUGUGUGGAGUCAUCCUUGGGAUACCACCCUUGUAGUACUGGGAUUCUAACCAGAGGCCAUGAAUCUGGUCUUGGGACACUGUCAGGUGGACAGUUUGACUGGGGCGGUCGCCUCCCAAAAAGUAACGGAGGCGCUCAAAGGUUCUCUCAGUACGGUCGGAAAUCGUACGAAGAGUGUAAAGGCAAAAGAGAGCUUGAUUGCAAGACAUACAGGUCGAGCAAGGACGAAAGUCGGACUUAGUGAUCCGGUGGUUCCGCAUGGAAGGGCCAUCGCUCAACGGAUAAAAGCUACCCUGGGG